rnacentral:rRNA from 1 species
ACGAACGCUGGCGGCGUGCUUAACACCUGCAAGUCGAACGGAAAGGCCCUGCUUUUGUGGGGUGCUCGAGUGGCAAACGGGUGAGUAACACGUGAGUAACCUGCCCUUGACUUUGGGAUAACUUCAGGAAACUGGGGCUAAUACCGGAUAGGAGCUCCUGCUGCAUGGUGGGGGUUGGAAAGUUUCGGCGGUUGGGGAUGGACUCGCGGCUUAUCAGCUUGUUGGUGGGGUAGUGGCUUACCAAGGCUUUGACGGGUAGCCGGCCUGAGAGGGUGACCGGCCACAUUGGGACUGAGAUACGGCCCAGACUCCUACGGGAGGCAGCAGUGGGGAAUAUUGCACAAUGGGCGGAAGCCUGAUGCAGCAACGCCGCGUGCGGGAUGACGGCCUUCGGGUUGUAAACCGCUUUCGCCUGUGACGAAGCGUGAGUGACGGUAAUGGGUAAAGAAGCACCGGCUAACUACGUG